rnacentral:rRNA from 1 species
GACGAACGCUGGCGGCGUGCCUAAUACAUGCAAGUAGAACGCACAGUUUAUACCGUAGCUUGCUCCACCAUAAACUGUGAGUUGCGAACGGGUGAGUAACGCGUAGGUAACCUGCCUGGUAGCGGGGGAUAACUAUUGGAAACGAUAGCUAAUACCGCAUAAUAUUGAUUAUUGCAUGAUAAUUGAUUGAAAGAUGCUAUUGCAUCACUACCAGAUGGACCUGCGUUGUAUUAGCUAGUAGGUGAGGUAACGGCUCACCUAGGCGACGAUACAUAGCCGACCUGAGAUGGUGAUCGGCCACAAUGGGACUGAGACACGGCCCAGACUCCUACGGGAGGCAGCAGUAGGGAAUCUUCGGCAAUGGACGAAAGUCUGACCGAGCAACGCCGCGGGAGUGAAGAAGGUUUUCGGAUCGUAAAGCUCGGUUGUAAGAGAAGAACGGGUGUGAGAGUGGAAAGUUCACACUGUGACGGUAUCUUACCAGAAAGGGACGGCUAACUACGUG